rnacentral:lncRNA from 1 species
UAGUGUUCACUCCUAUUUUAUUAUACUGUCUGUGUAUCUAAUGGACUGUAUUACUUUAAAGACAAUGUUCAUCUUUGCCUGUUAAGGGUUUAUAGUAGGUUCUCAAUAGAUGUUAAAUAUUAAAUGAAAGAAUGGGAGAUUGAGACUUGGAUGUUUUUCCUAAAGUAAAUCUUGCAGAAUGUCAUGAAUGUCUAUUUAAAAGUGAGACAAGCAAGAUUUGUAGACAAUUUCCUGUUACUAGGACUUACAUGUGACUGUAACUAUUCUUGAAUAUGCAAAGAUAGUUUUAAAAACAGAGAUUGUACCAAUUUUACCCUAUUUUACCACAAUUUUGAAUGUAAAAUAUUAAAACCCAGUCAGAAUAUCAAACUAAGUAACCAAUUACUGAAAUGAGAAUAUAAAUUAACUGGAUUUAAUUGAUUUAAGAUUCACAAUAAUAGCUUUCAUUAGGUAAUUGUUUGACUGAAUUUAUUCAAAUGGUCAGCUCACAGAUCCUGCAUGCAGGUAGAGAAAUGUGCUGACAAUAAAUAGGUGAAAUAUACUUCACUCUCUAAAAUAGGUGAUAUGUAAACAUAAGGUAUUACUUAUACCUGUCAAUAGAAGAAAGUACGAAAUGAGAUAUUUUAUUGUUCCCAUUCUCAUGUUAUGUCUUUUUCUCCUUCGGACAAACACGAAAGAAACUAUAAAAAUAAAUCUAUCCACAAAACGACUGGCUCACAGGAUUCAUUUUCAUUGUAUCCAUAGUUCUCCAUCUCAGUACCCUGUACAAGGUGGCCAUUAUUAUUGGUACUCAACCUGUGAUUACCAAUGGGUAAGAACAAAGUUUAUGAAUUCAGGAAGCUCUCAGUGACAACCAGGUCAGGGGCAAGACAAGAACAACAUUAGGAGACUCUCUGUGAAGAGGUAUGGAUACAGCUAAAACGGACUAUAAUAAGUUUGGAAUUCAACCUUACCACUCUGAUAGAUGAUCUGAGAGCUCAACUGGAAGCCUGACCGGUAUGUGCUAGGGGUUUAGUAAUCCAGAGGCUUUGCUCUUUAAUGACUGCCCAUAUGGAUCCAGCUAA